rnacentral:lncRNA from 1 species
GGGUCAAAACUUUAAUUUGGAAUUAAAAUUAGAAAGAUCAUAUCAUAGGGAACAUGUGUACUAAGUUUCAAGUUGAUGUAACUUUAACUUCAUCAAAAUCUACCUUGACCAAAAACUUUAACCUGAACUUCGCACUAUCAUUUUCUAUGUUCAGUGGACCAUGAAAUUAGGGUCAAAACUAUAAUUUGGCAUUAAAAUUAGAAAGAUCA